GAUGAACGCUGGCGGCGUGCCUAAUACAUGCAAGUCGAACGCGAGCACUUGUGCUCGAGUGGCGAACGGGUGAGUAAUACAUAAGUAACCUGCCCUAGACAGGGGGAUAACUAUUGGAAACGAUAGCUAAGACCGCAUAGGUACGGACACUGCAUGGUGACCGUAUUAAAAGUGCCUCAAAGCACUGGUAGAGGAUGGACUUAUGGCGCAUUAGCUGGUUGGCGGGGUAACGGCCCACCAAGGCGACGAUGCGUAGCCGACCUGAGAGGGUGACCGGCCACACUGGGACUGAGACACGGCCCAGACUCCUACGGGAGGCAGCAGUAGGGAAUUUUUGCGCAAUGGGGGCAACCCUGACGCAGCAACGCCGCGUGAUUGAUGAAGGUCUUCGGGAUUGUAAAAAUCUUUAAUCGAGGGACGAAG
rnacentral:rRNA from 1 species